ACUUGAUAAAUUAUAAAUAAGUCUUUUAGUAAAGAGUACAGGCUUUAUUUAGGUUUUAUUAUGUUGGGGUGAUAGGGUAAUAGAAUAACUUACUUUCAAUAAACCACAGAUAUGUGAAUUUGGGAACCAUAAAUAAUGAAUAGAAAAUUAAGU
rnacentral:rRNA from 1 species